GAUGAACGCUAGCGGUAGGCCUAACACAUGCAAGUCGAGGGGUAACAGGGGUAGCAAUAUCCGCUGACGACCGGCGCACGGGUGAGUAACGCGUAUGCAACCUGCCUCUAACUGGAGCAUAGCCCGAAGAAAUUCGGAUUAAUACUCCAUAAUAUCAUAAAUUCGCAUGUUUUUAUGAUUAGAGCUCCGGCGGUUAGAGAUGGGCAUGCGUGACAUUAGAUAGUUGGUGAGGUAACGGCUCACCAAGUCAACAAUGUCUAGGGGGUCUGAGAGGAUGGUCCCCCACACUGGUACUGAGACACGGACCAGACUCCUACGGGAGGCAGCAGUAGGGAAUAUUGGUCAAUGGGCGAGAGCCUGAACCAGCCAUGCCGCGUGCAGGAAGACGGCCUUCUGGGUUGUAAACUGCUUUUGACAGGGAAGAAAAGGUCCAUGCGUGGGCAAUUGCCAGUACCUGUAGAAUAAGCACGGCUAACUCCGUGCCAGCAGCCGCGGUAAUACGGAGGGUGCAAGCGUUGUCCGGAUUUAUUGGGUUUAAAGGGUGCGUAGGUGGCUGAUUAAGUCAGUGGUGAAAUUCUGCAGCUUAACUGUAGAACUGCCAUUGAUAC
rnacentral:rRNA from 1 species